rnacentral:lncRNA from 1 species
UUGUUACCUCUUUUCCCCAUGCAGUGUUGCCAGCGGAACUGUCUGUUCCCUCAGCAUGAUCGCUUUCUUUUUGAAGACUCGGUAAGUCAGUGGUUUGAUACCCGGUACUUUACCCUUUCCCCGGCGAGGUCGUCUGUGGAAUUGUUGCUAUCUCUCCAUCAGAGUGCUUAUUUCUCUUCAGCAGAGCAGGAUUUAUUUUCCUACUCAGCGGUUGAUUUGGGUUGACAUCCCAGUAUUGCAACCAUC